UACAGGAAAAUAACCUCAGUAUAUUCCUCAUAUGUACUCCACCAAGUGUGCACAUAAUAUUGUUUCAACUGUUUGGAUUCUGUACAACAUGUGGACAGAAAAAUGAUGAACACCAAAAUGAAUAUGGAAGGAAUUUGAGUGGUUGAACCAAUAAACAAGGCUGCAGCAGCAUACAAUCAAGUUUAUUAUGUACAUGAACAAUAAACCUGGCAAAGGGAGUGCUGAGUCCAACCAAACAUUGUCCAGUUAUGGGGCACCUACGUAUGGAUGCAGAUCUGUUGAAGUGAGUCCAGAGGAGGACCAUCAAGAUGAUGAGAGGACUGAAGCACCUCUCCUAUGAAGACAGGCUGAGAGAACUGGAGUUGUUCAAUCUGGUGAAGAGAUUGGUCUGGCACCUUCCAGUGCCUAAAGGGGAUCUACGAGAAAGCUGGAGAGAUCAGAGUUCCAAUAUGGCCAUGCUCUUGAAAGGGAAGCACCUAAUACACAGCUCAUUUAUCAAGGCAAAAGUGUUUAACUAUGACCCUAAGCACAUGCUGCUGCUUGUUAGUUUAACUGAAGCUACACAAACAUGAUAAAAGGUAUAGCCCCUGAAGAUGGAGGUGGGUUUCUCCUGUGGUUCAAGUGCUAACCUAGGACUCAGAAGAGAAGUGUUCAAUGUCCUGCUGUGCUACAGACUUCUGGAGCAAGAAGUGUGAUAUUUCAUUUCAUCACCUCUGACAAAGGCAUCAUUUCAUCUGUAUUCUAGGGAUUUUAUUCAGAUAACCUCUUACCUCUGAAAGAAUGAAAGAGACAGAAGCAUUAUAUGUGCAUUACAGAAAAUGGUGAGUUGGAGACUGAAAUAGUGGCAGUUCCAGACAGCAAAACUGUCUGCUGUGUGUGACCUCAGAUCCACCUGGUUUGGCCCAUCUCUGCUGUGCAACAGCUCGUGCUGCCUUCUGUUUGUCCCACGCUAUGAGAACAACACAAUGCCUAUGUUGAUGCAAGAGCCUUUAUCAUAUAUUUUGGCCCAUUCAGUGUGUGUAGAUAAAGGCAAGAAUACUAUUUCUAGCCAUUGAAUGACUGCUGUUUCAUUUUCUUAACACUGCCUGGGAUUUAAUUGAAAGGUACAGGGUGCAGAGGGGGAAAAAGUCACUAAAAACUAACUACCACUGAGGAAAUUCAUUGUCCUCCUACUGAAAACCAGAUGACAGUUCCUAGAUUAGACACUCAGUGCAUUUCCUAGACCAGGAAUUCAGGUAUGUUUGGAUAAUUACAUAA